rnacentral:misc_RNA from 1 species
CUGUUCGAGCGUCAUUACUGACCAAUCCCGCAAGGUCUUGGGGUCCGCGGUUCGCUGCGGCCCUUAAAAUCAGUGGCGGCGCUGCCGGUGCUCUCAGCGUAGUAAUACUUCUCGCUCGGGAACCAUGGUGGAUGCUCGCCAGCAAACCCCAAUCUUCAAAGGUUGACCUCGGAUCAGGUAGGGAUACCCGCUGAACUUAA